rnacentral:rRNA from 1 species
CAGCCGCCGCGGUAAUACGUAGGGGGCGAGCGUUGUCCGGAAUUAUUGGGCGUAAAGCGCGCGCAGGCGGUCCUUUAAGUCUGAUGUGAAAGCCCACGGCUCAACCGUGGAGGGUCAUUGGAAACUGGGGGACUUGAGUGCAGGAGAGGAGAGCGGAAUUCCACGUGUAGCGGUGAAAUGCGUAGAGAUGUGGAGGAACACCAGUGGCGAAGGCGGCUCUCUGGCCUGUAACUGACGCUGAGGCGCGAAAGCGUGGGGAGCAAACAGGAUUAGAUAACCUGGUAGUCCACGCCGUAAACGAUGAGUGCUAAGUGUUAGAGGGGUCACACCCUUUAGUGCUGCAGCUAACGCGAUAAGCACUCCGCCUGGGGAGUACGGCCGCAAGGCUGAAACUUAAAGGAAUUGGCGGG